UACGUAGGGGCAAGCGUUGUCCGGAAUCAUUGGGCGUAAAGAGCGCGUAGGCGGCCCUGUAAGUCCGCUGUGAAAGUCAAGGGCUCAACCCUUGAAUGCCGGUGGAUACUGCAGGGCUAGAGUCCGGAAGAGGCGAGUGGAAUUCCCAGUGUAGAGGUGAAAUUCGUAGAUAUUGGGAAGAACACCGGUGGCGAAGGCGGCGCUCUGGACCGAGACUGACGCUGAGGCGCGAAAGCGUGGGGAGCAACAGG
rnacentral:rRNA from 1 species